rfam:Triticum aestivum genome assembly, contig: Triticum_aestivum_CS42_TGACv1_scaffold_556115_7AL
AGAUGAGAUGAUCAAUGAUUAAUUUCCUUAUUGGCUUGACUGGUCAAGAUGAUGGCCUAAAUACUGAACCGAAUCUGAUCAUCC